AUGGUUCAAACUGCUCAUAAAAGGAGACUGCCAACCAUCGCCUUAAAGCUGGACUUCCAGAAGGCUUUUGAUUCAGUAAGUUGGGACUGCCUUUUUCAGGUUCUGGAAGCCAGAGGUUUUCCCGCAAGAUGGGCACAGUGGAUCAAUGCACUACUAUCCUCGGGAAGUUCUCAAGUGCUUCUCAAUGGAGAGCUUGGG
rnacentral:rRNA from 1 species